CGUUCCCGGGCCUUGUACACACCGCCCGUCACGUCAUGAAAGUCGGUAACACCCGAAGCCGGUGGCCCAACCCGUAAGGGAGGGAGCUGUCGAAGGUGGGACUGGCGAUUAGACG
rnacentral:rRNA from 1 species